AGAGUUGGUGGCUAGGGUUCCGGCCUGUUUCAGGCGCUGGUCCGAGAGCUGCCCCCCGAAGGGAGAAAUCCUUCGGACGCACGGCGGGACAAAAGCCCGGGAGAC
rnacentral:sRNA from 21 species